rnacentral:rRNA from 1 species
AUGAACGCUUGCGGCCUGCCUAAUACCUUCAAGUCGAGCGAACAGACGAGGAGCUUGCUCCUCUGCCGUUAGCGCCGGCGGGGUGAGUAACACUUGGUUAACCUACCUAUAAUUCUGGGAUAACUUCGGGAAACCGGAGCUAAUCCCGGUUGAUAUAUUUAACCGCUUGGUUCAAUAGGGAAAUACGGUUUUUCUGUGACUUAUUGAUGGCUUCUCGCCGCAUUAGCUAGUUGGUAAGGUAACGGCUUACCAAGGGAACGAGGGGUAGCCGACCUGAGAGGGUGAUCGGCGGCACUGGAACUGAGACACGGUCCAGACGCCUACGGGAGGCAGCAGUAGGGAAUCUUACGCAAUGGGGGAAAGCCUGACGGAGCAAGGCCGCGUGAGUGAUGAAGGUCUUGGGAGCGGGAAACCGUGUUAUUGGUGGAAAACAAAUGUGUACGGAAAUAUGCACGGCUUGACGGUAACUAAUAAAAAAGCCACGGCUAACUACGUG